GAUGAACGCUGGCGGCGUGCCUAAUACAUGCAAGUCGAGCGAACAGACGAGGAGCUUGCUCCUCUGACGUUAGCGGCGGACGGGUGAGUAACACGUGGAUAACCUAUCUAUAAGACUGGGAUAACUUCGGGAAACCGGUGCUAAUACCGGAUAAUAUAUUGAACCGCCUGGUUCCAUAGUGAAAGACGGUUUUGCUGACACUUAUAGAUGGAUCCGCGCCGCAUUAGCUAGUGGGUAAGGUAACGGCGUACCAAGGCGACGAUGCGUAGCCGACCUGAGAGGGUGGGCAGCCCCACCGGAAGUGAGACGCGGCCCAGACUCCUACGGUAGGCAGCAGUAGGGAAUCGUCCACAAUGGGCGAAAGCCUGACGGAGCAACGCCGCGUGAGUGAUGAAGGUCUUCGGAUCGUAGAACUCUGUUAUUAGGGAAGAACAAAUGUGUAAGUAACUCUGCACGUCUUGACGGUACCUAAUCAGAAAGCCACGGCUAACUACGUG
rnacentral:rRNA from 1 species